CCUACGGGAGGCAGCAGUGAGGAAUAUUGGUCAAUGGCCGCGAGGCUGAACCAGCCAAGUAGCGUGAAGGAUGACUGCCCUAUGGGUUGUAAACUUCUUUUAUGCGGGGAUAAAGUGGUCCACGUGUGGAUGUUUGCAUGUACCGUAUGAAUAAGGAUCGGCUAACUCCGUGCCAGCAGCCGCGGUAAUACGGAGGGUCCGGGCGUUAUCCGGAUUUAUUGGGUUUAAAGGGAGCGUAGGCCGAUUGUUAAGCGUGCCGUGAAAUUUUGUGGCUCAACCAUGAAAGUGCGGCGCGAACUGGCGUGCUUGAGUGCGCGGAAGGUAGGCGGAAGUCGUGGUGUAGCGGUGAAAUGCUUAGAUAUCACGAAGAACUCCGAUUGCGAAGGCAGCAUACGGCAGCGCUACUGACGCUGAAGCUCGAAGGCGCGGGUAUCGAACAGGAUUAGAUACCCGUGUAGUC
rnacentral:rRNA from 1 species